AACGAACGCUGGCGGCAUGCCUAACACAUGCAAGUCGAACGAGACCUUCGGGUCUAGUGGCGCACGGGUGCGUAACGCGUGGGAACCUGCCCUUAGGUUCGGAAUAACUCCCCGAAAGGGGUGCUAAUACCGGAUAAUGCCUUCGGACCAAAGAUUUAUCGCCUUUGGAUGGGCCCGCGUUGGAUUAGCUAGUUGGUAGGGUAAAAGCCUACCAAGGCGACGAUCCAUAGCUGGUCUGAGAGGAUGAUCAGCCACACUAGGACUGAGACACGGCCCAGACUCCUACGGGAGGCAGCAGUGGGGAAUAUUGGACAAUGGGCGAAAGCCUGAUCCAGCAAUGCCGCGUGAGUGAUGAAGGCCUUAGGGUUGUAAAGCUCUUUUACCCGGGAUGAUAAUGACAGUACCGGGAGAAUAAGCUCCGGCUAACUCCGUG
rnacentral:rRNA from 1 species